rnacentral:lncRNA from 1 species
AACUCCUAUGUGGUCAUGGUGUAUGAGUCUUUAAAUGCAUUUUUGUAUUUGGCUUGCUUGUGUUCAUUGCAGCACUAUUCAAAACAGUUAAGAUAUGGAAUAAAACUAAAUGUCCCUCAGCAGGUGAAUGAAUCAAGAAAAGGUAGGGGCUGAGGUGGGAGGAUGGCUUGAGCCCAGGAAUUCGAGAACAGCCUGGGUGACAUAGUGAAAUCAGCUCAUUUUCAGGUUCAUACACACACACACACACACACACACACACACACACACACACACAAGCACACACAUCCAAUCACACCAGGGCACUGAUGUGUUUCAGUGGACAUUGUGAUUGACUCCCCAACAUCCAUUCUGUCUCCUGUUUAUCUAAGCCAGUCAAUAUUCUUGAAAUUCACUGGUUUUGAAAUGGGCACGUGACCUAAUUCAGUCCCAUACGUUGGAGUUGACUGUGGGGAUAUCUUCU